rnacentral:rRNA from 1 species
AACCUGGUUGAUCCUGCCAGUAGUCAUACGCUCGUCUCAAAGAUUAAGCCAUGCAUGUCUAAGUAUAAGCAUUUAUACUGUGAAACUGCGAAUGGCUCAUUAUAUCAGUUAUAGUUUAUUUGAUAGUACCUUACUACAUGGAUAACCGUAGUAAUUCUAGAGCUAAUACAUGCAUCAACUCCCGACUUCGGAAGGGACGUAUUUAUUAGAUUGAAACCAAUGCGCGUUUCGGCGCGGUAUUGUGGUGAGUCAUAAUAACUGAGCGGAUCGCACGUGCCUU